UACGUAGGGUGCGAGCGUUAAUCGGAAUUACUGGGCGUAAAGCGUGCGCAGGCGGCGCCGCAAGUCAGGCGUGAAAUCCCCGAGCUUAACUUGGGAAUGGCGCUUGAAACUACGGUGCUGGAGUGUGGCAGAGGGAGGUGGAAUUCCACGUGUAGCGGUGAAAUGCGUAGAGAUGUGGAGGAACACCGAUGGCGAAGGCAGCCUCCUGGGCCAACACUGACGCUCAUGCACGAAAGCG
rnacentral:rRNA from 1 species